rnacentral:rRNA from 1 species
UAAGACGAAGGAUGCAAGCGUUAUCCGGAUUUAUUGGGUUUAAAGGGAGCGUAGGUGGCCUUAUAAGUCAGUGGUGAAAGACUAGAGCUUAACUCUGGAACUGCCAUUGAUACUGUAGGGCUUGAGUAUAGUUGCUGUGGGCGGAAUAUGACAUGUAGUGGUGAAAUACUUAGAGAUGUCAUAGAACACCGAUUGCGAAGGCAGCUCACAAAACUAUAACUGACACUGAGGCUCGAAAGUGCGGGGAUCAAACAGGAUUAGAUACCCUGGUAGUCCGCACUGUAAACGAUGAUUACUCGUUGCUGGAAAGCAAUUUUCAGUGACUAAGCGAAAGCGAUAAGUAAUCCACCUGGGGAGUACGCCGGCAACGGUG